rnacentral:tRNA from 1 species
GCCGGCGUAGCUCAGCUGGUAGAGCAGCUGAUUUGUAAUCAGCUGGUCGGGGGUUAGAAUCCUCUCGCCGGCU